rnacentral:rRNA from 1 species
UACGGAGGGUGCAAGCGUUAUCCGGAUUCACUGGGUUUAAAGGGUGCGUAGGUGGGUUGGUAAGUCAGUGGUGAAAUCUCCGAGCUUAACUUGGAAACUGCCAUUGAUACUAUUAAUCUUGAAUAUUGUGGAGGUCAGCGGAAUAUGUCAUGUAGCGGUGAAAUGCUUAGAGAUGACAUAGAACACCAAUUGCGAAGGCAGCUGGCUACACAUAUAUUGACACUGAGGCACGAAAGCGUGGGAUCAAACAGG